rnacentral:rRNA from 1 species
ACUGCUCAGUAACACGUGGACAACCUACCCUCAGCACGGGGAUAAACCCGGGAAACUGGGUAUAAUACCCGAUAGUUCUGGGAUGCUGGAAUGCGCCCAGGACGAAAGCUCCGGCGACUGAGGAUGGGUCUGCGGCCUAUCAGGUAGUAGUGGGUGUAAUGUACCUACUAGCCUACGACGGGUACGGGUUGUGAGAGCAAGAGCCCGGAGAUGGAUUCUGAGACACGAAUCCAGGCCCUACGGGGUGCAGCAGGCGCGAAAACUUUACAAUGCUGGCAACAGCGAUAAGGGGACCUCGAGUGCCAGGAUACAAUCUUGGCUGUCGUAAUGCCUAAAAAGCAUUGCAUAGCAAGGGCCGGGCAAGACCGGUGCCAGCCGCCGCGGUAACACCGGCGGCUCGAGUGGUAACCGCUAUUAUUGGGUCUAAAGGGUCUGUAGCCGGCCGGAUAAGUCUCUUGGGAAAUCCAGCUGCUCAACAGUUGGGCUUUCAGGAGAUACUGUUCGGCUCGAGACCGGGAGAGGUGAGAGGUACUUCAGGGGUAGGGGUGAAAUCUUGUAAUCCUUGAAGGACCACCAGUGGCGAAGGCGUCUCACCAGAACGGAUCUGACGGCAAGGGACGAAAGCUAGGGGCACGAACCGGAUUAGAUACCCGGGUAGUCCUAGCCGUAAACGGUACUCGCUAGGUGUCGGCCACGGUGCGACCGUGGUCGGUGCCGUAUGGAAGCCGUGAAGCGAGCCACCUGGGAAGUACGGCCGCAAGGCUGAACUUAAAGGAAUUGGCGGGGGAGCAC